GACUAAGUCCAAGAAACUUAUUGAUCACCUGUACUCCACUUAUCCACAAGCCCAGCAACUCAGGGCUACAGGUUACAUUUCAUAUUUCUAUAGCUGACUCACAUACCUUUAAUCCUGCAGAAUAACCUUGUGAAGCAGAUGGUUUCAUUCUUGCUCAAUUAAUGAGACAACUGAGGCCCAGAAAUGUCUGAGCCACACACUGUUCAGGCAACUCAAGGGGUGUAGAUGCAGCCUUUCUGCCCUCAGGCCUGUUUUUGUUUUUUGUCUCCUUCACUGGGUGCAGAACUGUGCUUCACAGAGCCUCAGAAUCCCAUCCGUUCAAGCCUCUGAUCUUCCCUUUUCAAUUCACAUCCACCAAGGAACAUUCCUUAUUGUCCCCACUAUGCCAUUUCAAAGGGUGGGACCCAUUAUGAAGUAGGUUAAACAAAGUAAAUCCACUUUGGCUUGAAAGAAAAUUAAUUCAAACGAAACACAAUUAUUUAGGGAAGCCACUACAGAAYUUUAUGUAUAAGGAACCAUAUUAUAUAUAAGUGGUAAUACAGCAAAGACUUAAGUGUCAAUGGCAAGCCAGGCAUCUUGCAGAAGUUACUUGUUCAAGUUACUUGUAGCUUUACAACUCUAGGUUAGAGAGAGGAAUGCAAUUUAUUAGCCAUGUUUCACAUUUUUUUCCAUAAAUCUUUAAAUAUUUAAGCACCAUAAAAUUCAAGCAUUUCACACAAAUGUGGCAGCCAGCCUUGGUGGUUUAAAAUGCAUUAUGCAGAGUUUCUGGCAGAUAAUAACAGUGACAAUUACACAGUACUGAUCUUUAACGUCAAUUGUUUGUUCCCCACAGAACUUACCAGUAAUGUCCCUGCAGGAAAUUAUGAUUGUGUGUGUGUGUUUGGUACAGUAAUUUUGAGGAUAUAAAUAAAAUAGCAUUCCCCAAAACAUUAAGAAUUGACCAGGUAUAAUAAUUCUAAUCAGUAAUUUGUAUGCCUUUUGAGAAUCAUAGCUCUCUAUUGUGUGUUAAAAAAAAACCAAGGAAUAUUUUUCACAUUGAAUAAUUAAAUAAAAGAUGUGGCCAUAAUCAAUGCAUGAUGAUAGCUAUUUGUGAGAGAGAUAAUCUAACUUUAACUUUCAACACAAGAGUAGGUAUUAUGUCCUAUCAUCCUAUUAGAUAAAUGAGGGAAGUGAGGUUGAGGGAGUUGUGGAACUGGCCCAGGUGAACCAGCUGGAUAGAGAUGGAGCUGGAUCAAGAUCUGCGUACAACCGACUCUAAAGUCAUUUUCCCACCAUUCUUGCAGCUGAACCAAGUAAAAGUUACAAUUGUCAAAUUAUUGCAGUGAGCUGAUAAAACACAAAUCUAAUAUAAUUUCCUGGAACACAGAUGGUUUGCUAAUCUACAAUAGGCUCCAAAUAAAAUCUUUGAUAAAAAUCUUAAGUUUCAUGGACCAUUCCACUGGCUAUUUUUCUAAGCACCAUUACAUACACACAAAUUUUGUAGAGGCAUACUUUUGCUAGGAAGCUCUUAAAUCAAGAGGGAAUAGUGGUUACAGUAUGAACUGUCAUGGCACAGUACAAUGAAGGGUCUUCUCUAAGCCAAGUCUUUUAAAUCUCAUCAUUUCUGAAAUUUCAUUUUGUAUUAAAAAUUAUUUUUGAGGGGAAAAGUGAUGACUAAAGCUUAAUUGUCUUUCUGCAGGAGUUGUAAUAGGAGAUUGUGGGUGUGCAGAAUGUUGAACAUUCUGAUAUUUUGAAGUAAGAAAUGGCUUAUUUACCAUUUUACCACUGAGGACCUUAUAUGCAGACCUGAACAUCUAAUGCCUAAUGAGGCUUGUAGAAUUAUCAUUGAAUAAAAGUGUUGGCAAMAGUAUGCUCAGUUCUGCUAGCACUGGACAAAUGAAGUGUGGUCCCUGCCCUCCGGAGGCUUAGAUUUUAGUUAGGGAAUGAAGGACAUGUGCUGAGACCUUAGAGAAGUACUGGGGAAACAGAAAGAGAGGCCAGCCCCACUAAUUGUAUUGGUGGCAGCUGAAGAGAGUCCAAAUCUCCUUGAGGGAAUUCACAUGCAUGCCCCUAAUUUAGUCUUGAAAGAUAUGUAGGCAUCUGCCAAGUCAGUAGACCAGAGGGAAGAUAUGGCUGGUGUAAGAGAAGGAACCAAAGGCACAGAGGUACUGCGAGAGUUUGCAGAACGGUGUGCAAUUCAUGGUGGCAAGAGAUAGUCCCAGGUGUAAGCCAUGGACAGUUCAUGCUGGACCUCUCACCCAUUGUGAAGUCAUUUGGACUUGGGCAAUGCAGUCAUUGAAGGGUUUUAAGCCAAAAGAUAACAAAGCCAAGUUUGGAUGGAACUUAGAUGACAACUGAGAUUUGAAACUGGAGGAACUGGUCGGAAGAUGUCUACUGCAAGAGGGUAGUUGGAGAGUCUCGUUAGGUACAAAGAGGCUGGAGAGGAGGCAGCAAUCCAGAGGAAGAUGACUCGGGUGCAGCCUGAGGAGUUGGAGAGCAGAAGGAACCCGCCACAUGCAGCGUGGAGGACCACCURGUGUCCUUCCCAGAAUAAGGAUCCAGAGGGAAGAAGCAUCCUAGUCCUCCAGCAUGAGCCUCAGAGCACUUCCCACUAGGCAAUCAAGGAUUAGACCAUCAGAUUCCUGGCAAAAUAGAAAACAGACCUUUUCCUAUUUGAAAGUGACACAGCUUCUAAACUUUUAUAAAAAUUACUGAUGCCAAAUGUCAAAUGACUGCCUCGGUACAAUACUCAUAAAAGAAGAGGAUACUUGGACAUACAAAGGGACACUGGGGAUGUAUGUACCUGGAAUGCACAGAGCAAAGGCCAUGUGAGGACAUGGAAGACCACCAUCUGCAAGCCAAGGAGAGAGGCCUCAGCAGAAAGCAAACCCACCAACACCUUGAAGUUGGACUUGCAGCCGCURGGGCUGUGGUAAAAUUCUCUGUUGUUUCAGCUACUCCACCUGUGGCAUUUUGUAAUGGUGGCCCAAGAAAACCUUAAAGCGUACCUUAAAACUAACCUUUAAAUCCAAGGGGGCUCUCUUCAGUGGCUUUGCAUCUUGCCUCCUUCCUCUGCUCUCCCAUAAUGAUGUGAGGAUGACAAAGCUGAGGAUGCCAAUCAAUCUCUGCAGUUCACUGAGAUUCCCCCCCCAUUUAAGAAACCAGUUUUGCCCAUUGACUUGGGCCUCAGCCCAUCAAAUUGAUGAAUUAAGAAAAGACAGAAACCCAAAUCCUGUGCCUUAAAUCACCAUCCCUGUCAAGGAAAGGAUGCAUGGAGGCUUAAGGAGGGUUGAUUUGGUUUUGGCAAGCCAGCAGAAAUCAGAUAUUCCCACAGAGUUUCCUUCUCUGUCCUGUCUCUGAAAGGCCCAUCCCUGAGCCUCUUUUGCCCCAGACCAGGUCCUAAUUGCAAUUACCUGUAGUCCAGUCCAGGCCUCUGACCUUUCCCUGCCACCCCAUCUGAGAAACAUCCUAAUGGCUCAGGUACUGCUGGUUCUGUGAACAGAAGCCCAAAGAAGUUCUCAAACAGUGGUCCUCCCACUUUGCCUCAACAGGGCUGGGGUGGGGCUUAGGAAUCUACAUUUCCAAGUUCCCACUCGAUGCUCUUUCCAGGGACCACAUUUUGAGAAUGACUGUUCCCAAUUAUAAAUUAAAAUUUAAAGCUAAACUCUUUCUGGUAA